rnacentral:rRNA from 1 species
UGGUGGAGUGAUUUGUCUGGUUAAUUCCGUUAACGAACGAGACCUCGACCUGCUAACUAGUAGGUUUAACCUUUGGUUGAACAUGCUUCUUAGAGGGACUAUCGGUGACUAGCCGGUGGAAGUUCGAGGCAAUAACA